ensembl:piRNA 21ur-13114 ncRNA
UGUUUUUUUAAGGACAUUUUA